CCUACGGGACGCAGCAGUGAGGAAUAUUGGUCAAUGGACGCAAGUCUGAACCAGCCAUGCCGCGUGCAGGAAGACGGCUCUAUGAGUUGUAAACUGCUUUUGUACGAGGGUAAACGCAGAUACGCGUAUCUGUCUGAAAGUAUCGUACGAAUAAGGAUCGGCUAACUCCGUGCCAGCAGCCGCGGUAAUACGGAGGAUUCAAGCGUUAUCCGGAUUUAUUGGGUUUAAAGGGUGCGUAGGCGGUCGGAUAAGUUAGAGGUGAAAUCCCGAGGCUCAACUUCGGAAUUGCCUCUGAUACUGUACGGCUAGAGAGUAGUUGCGGUAGGCGGAAUGUAUGGUGUAGCGGUGAAAUGCUUAGAGAUCAUACAGAACACCGAUUGCGAAGGCAGCUUACCAAGCUACUUCUGACGUUGAGGCACGAAAGCGUGGGGAGCAAACAGGAUUAGAUACCCUUGUAGUC
rnacentral:rRNA from 1 species